UACGGAGGGUGCGAGCGUUGCCCGGAAUUACUGGGCGUAAAGCGUACGCAGGCUGUCUCAUAAGACGGGUGUGAAAGCCCGGGGCUCAACCCCGGAAUUGCGCCCGUGACUGUGAGGCUUGAAUGCGGGAGAGGGAAGCGGAAUUCCUGGUGUAGAGGUGAAAUUCGUAGAUAUCAGGAGGAACACCGGUGGCGAAAGCGGCUUCCUGGCCCGACAUUGACGCUCAUGUACGAGAGCGUGGGGAGCAAACAGG
rnacentral:rRNA from 1 species